GCACAAGCGGUGGAUGAUGUGGUUAAUUCGAUGCAACGCGAAAACCUUACCACCUUGACAUGUACGGAAUCCUUUAGAGAUAGAGGAGUGCUCGAAAGAGAGCCGUAACACAGGUGCUGCAUGGCUGUCGUCAGCUCGUGUCGUGAGAUGUUGGGUUAAGUCCCGCAACGAGCGCAACCCUUGUCAUUAGUUGCUACAUUCAGUUGGGCACUCUAAUGAGACUGCCGGUGACAAACCGGAGGAAGGUGGGGAUGACGUCAAGUCCUCAUGGCCCUUAUAGGUGGGGCUACACACGUCAUACAAUGGAUGGUACAAAGGGUCGCCAACCCGCGAGGGGGAGCCAAUCCCAUAAAGCCAUUCGUAGUCCGGAUCGCAGUCUGCAACUCGACUGCGUGAAGUCGGAAUCGCUAGUAAUCGUGGAUCAGAAUGUCACGGUGAAUACGUUCCCGGGCCUU
rnacentral:rRNA from 1 species